CGGCGGCGGCGGCGCACAAUGGGGUGAGGCUGCGGGCACUAAGCGGCGGACAGCGGCCGGAAGGACUUAGGGGAGAAAUCCGCCCAAGGAGGGGCUCGUGUCUGAUUAGCUAGUCCGAGAGGAUGAUCAGCCACACUGGGACUGAGACACGGCCCAGACUCCUACGGGAGGCAGCAGUGGGGAAUUUUCCGCAAUGGGCGAAAGCCUGACGGAGCAAUGCCGCGUGGAGGUGGAAGGCCCACGGGUCGUCAACUUCUUUUCUCGGAGAAGAAACAAUGACGGUAUCUGAGGAAUAAGCAUCGCCG
rnacentral:ncRNA from 1 species